GAUGAACGCUGGCGGCGUGCCUAAUACAUGCAAGUCGAGCGAACAGACGAGGAGCUUGCUCCUCUGACGUUAGCGGCGGACGGGUGAGUAACACGUGGAUAACCUACCUAUAAGACUGGGAUAACUUCGGGAAACCGGAGCUAAUACCGGAUAAUAUAUUGAACCGCAUGGUUCAAUAGUGAAAGACGGUUUUGCUGUCACUUAUAGAUGGAUCCGGGCCGUAUUAGCUAGUUGGUAAGGUAACGGCUUACCAAGGCAACGAUGCGUAGCCGACCUGAGAGAGUGAUCGGCGACACGAGAAGGGGGACGCGGUCCAGACUACUAAGGGAGGCAGCAGUAGGGAAUCGGACGCAAUGGGCGAAAGCCUUGCGGAGCAACGCCGCGUGAGAGAUGAAGGUCUUCGGAUCGUAAAACUCUGUUAUUAGGGGAGAACAAAUGUGUAAGUAAAUAUGCACGGCGUGACGGUACCUAAUCAGAAAGCCACGGCUAACUACGUG
rnacentral:rRNA from 1 species